GAUGAACGCUAGCGGCAGGCCUAACACAUGCAAGUCGAGGGAGAAGCCUUUCGGGGCAGAAACCGGCGCACGGGUGCGUAACGCGUAUGCAACCUACCUUUCACAGGGGGAUAGCCCGAAGAAAUUUGGAUUAAUACCCCAUAAUAUUGUUGGAUGGCAUCAUCUGAUAAUUAAAACUGCGGUGGUGAAAGAUGGGCAUGCGUCCUAUUAGCUAGUUGGAGUGGUAACGGCACCCCAAGGCUACGAUAGGUAGGGGUCCUGAGAGGGAGAUCCCCCACACUGGUACUGAGACAGGGACCAGACUCCUACGGGAGGCAGCAGUGAGGAAUAGUGGUCAAUGGUCGGAAGACUGAACCAGCCAUGCCGCGUGCAGGAAGAAUGCCUUAUGGGUUGUAAACUGCUUUUAUAUGGGAAGAAUAAGGUGUACGGGUACAUUGAUGACGGUACCAUAUGAAUAAGCAUCGGCUAACUCCGUG
rnacentral:rRNA from 1 species